GCCUAGUUAGCUUAGUUGGUAGUGCGUCUGCCUUGUAAGCGCUAGGCCGUGGGUUCGAUUCCUGCACGGGGCG
rnacentral:tRNA from 1 species